rnacentral:rRNA from 1 species
GACGAACGCUGGCGGCGUGCUUAGCACAUGCAAGUCGAACGGAAAGGCCCUGCUUUUGUGGGGUGCUCGAGUGGCGAACGGGUGAGUAACACGUGAGUAACCUGCCCUUGACUUUGGGAUAACUUCAGGAAACUGGGGCUAAUACCGGAUAGGAGCUCCUGCUGCAUGGUGGGGGUUGGAAAGUUUCGGCGGUUGGGGAUGGACUCGCGGCUUAUCAGCUUGUUGGUGGGGUAGUGACUUACCAAGGCUUUGACGGGUAGCCGGCCUGAGAGGGUGACCGGCCACAUUGGGACUGAGAUACGGCCCAGACUCCUACGGGAGGCAGCAGUGGGGAAUAUUGCACAAUGGGCGGAAGCCUGAUGCAGCAACGCCGCGUGCGGGAUGACGGCCUUCGGGUUGUAAACCGCUUUCGCCUGUGACGAAGCGUGAGUGACGGUAAUGGGUAAGGAAGCACCGGCUAACUACGU